rnacentral:rRNA from 1 species
GCUGGCGGCGUGCUUACACAUGCAACUCGAACGAUGAAGCCCUUCGGGGUGGAUUACUGGCGAACGGGUGAGUAACACGUGGGCAAUCUGCCCUUCACUCUGGGACAAGCCCUGGAAACGGGGUCUAAUACCGGAUAACACCGGCUUCCGCAUGGAGGCUGGUUGAAAGCUCCGGCGGUGAAGGAUGAGCCCGCGGCCUAUCAGCUUGUUGGUGGGGUAAUGGCCUACCAAGGCGACGACGGGUAGCCGGCCUGAGAGGGCGACCGGCCACACUGGGACUGAGACACGGCCCAGACUCCUACGGGAGGCAGCAGUGGGGAAUAUUGCACAAUGGGCGAAAGCCUGAUGCAGCGACGCCGCGUGAGGGAUGACGGCCUUCGGGUUGUAAACCUCUUUCAGCAGGGAAGAAGCGAAAGUGACGGUACCUGCAGAAGAAGCGCCGGCUAACUAGGGCGCAACAGCCGCGGUAAUACGUAGGGCGCAAGCGUUGUCCGGAAUUAUUGGGCGUAAAGAGCUCGUAGGCGGCUUGUCACGUCGGGUGUGAAAGCCCGGGGCUUAACCCCGGGGUCUGCAUCCGAUACGGGCAAGCUAAAGUGUGGUAGGGGAGAUCGGAAUUCCUGGUGUAACGGUGAAAUGCGCAAAUAUCAGGAGGAACACCGGUUGGCGAAGGCGGAUCUCUGGGCCAUUACUGAACCCU